rnacentral:rRNA from 1 species
AGUGGGGAAUCUUGCGCAAUGGGCGAAAGCCUGACGCAGCAACGCCGCGUGCGGGAUGACAGCUUUCGGGUUGUAAACCGCUUUCAGGAGGGACGAAAAUGACGGUACCUCCAGAAGAAGCCCCGGCCAACUACGUGCCAGCAGCCGCGGUAACACGUAGGGGGCGAGCGUUGUCCGGAUUUAUUGGGCGUAAAGAGCUCGUAGGCGGUUAGGAAAGUCGGGUGUGAAAGCUCGAGGCUCAACCUCGAGACGCCACUCGAUACUGCCAUGACUGGAGUCCGGUAGAGGAGUGCGGAAUUCCUGGUGUAGCGGUGAAAUGCGCAGAUAUCAGGAGGAACACCAACGGCGAAGGCAGCACUCUGGGCCGGUACUGACGCUGAGGAGCGAAAGCGUGGGGAGCAAA